rfam:Pichia angusta strain DL-1 mitochondrion, complete genome.
GUUAUAAUAGCAUAAUUGGUAUUGCGUUUGUUUUGUAAUCAAAAGAUUUUAGGUUCAAGUCCUAAUUAUAACA